ACACCUGCUCACUACGUGCCGGAAAACACGUAGACCCUAAACAAAAAAUAAAUAAAAAAACAGGAUUGUUAUGCGGCUGCUGAACAGAUAAAGAUUUUUAGGAAAUAGUUCUAGAUCACGUUAUGGGACGUCCCAAAUUAAGUAGGCUAGGUUUACUAUUAAAGGAGGUAGUACACUUUUUCCCCCACAGAUUAAAUGUUGAAGUGCUCUGCUGGAUUUAGUCGAAAAGUGUCUUGCUGUGGACAUUGCUUUAAUCUUGGAUCUUAAAGCUAAUUAUGCGGUGCUUAUUCAAAAGAAGGGAACAUUAGAAGAGACAAAUGGAGAGGAGGAGGGAUGAACAUUCACAAGCCAGCGGAUCAAAACCAGCAAAUGUGGAGAAUCUUGUUAAAAGGAACAGUUUGGAUCGUCUUCAUGUGAAUCUGAAAUUCUCUCAUGAUGCAGACAGACCAGAGAGACAUCUCGAUGUAUCAAAAUCAAAGACGAGCAGAUCAUCUGAACACCAACCAGACAAAACUCUGUGAAUCUCUCACGUUUCUUCAGAUGGAGCUGAAAUAGUUAAUUGUUUCCAGUCCUGGCUUUGUCCAAUCAGGAGCUUCUUCAGCAGCUUGGGUUCAGAAAUCCACCUUUAUGUAGAUAGUUGAAAGCAUGUAAAUCUUGCCAGUUUACUGUUUACUGUAAAGGAGUUUUCCAUAUUGAUUUUUUUUACAGGUGUCAUAUUUUGCAGUUA